rnacentral:tRNA from 1 species
GCGAGAGUGGCGGAACUGGUAGACGCACUGGAUUUAGGAUCCAGCGAGCUAAGCUUGUGGGGGUUCGACUCCCCCCUUUCGCACCA